AGUCGUCUGAGCGACUAUAAAUAGUAUUUAAGCUCAGAGCGUUAAGGGGCUAGAGUAAGGAGUGGAUGCCAAGCUCUAGUCCCUUAGGUAUGC
rnacentral:ribozyme from 1 species